rnacentral:rRNA from 1 species
UGUUGAUGGCGACCGGCGCACGGGUGAGUAACACGUAUGGAACCUGCCCGCCACAGGGGGAUAACCCGGGGAAACCCGGCCUAAUACCCCAUGCCGCCCGGACCGGGCAUCCGGACCGGGCGAAAGGAGGAAUCCGGUGGCGGCUGGGCAUGCGGCGCAUUAGCUUGACGGCGGGGUAACGGCCCACCGUGGCGACGAUGCGUAGGGGUUCUGAGAGGAAGGCCCCCCACACUGGAACUGAGACACGGUCCAGACUCCUACGGAAGGCAGCAG